rnacentral:tRNA from 1 species
AACAAAAUGGUUAAAUAAAUAAUAUUAGAUUGUCAUUCUAAAGUUACCUUUAAGGUUUUUGUUU